AACUCCUUUAAUUUAGUCCCGUGAGGCUAAUAAGGUACGAUUAAUUUAGGCACCGUCUAGCCUAAUAUUAGUGAAUCCUUCUGCCACGCGGGCAGAAGGAUUUUUUUUA
rfam:Lactobacillus rennini DSM 20253 NODE_39, whole genome shotgun sequence.